rnacentral:misc_RNA from 1 species
CAAGUCCGGUAACUCUGUGG